CCACUCAACCCGUCCUCUCUUUUCUCUCCCAGUCAUUAUUUUUUUUUAUUUAAUUUUAUUUUAUAGAUAAAUCGAUAAAAUAAUAAUUUCUAAAAAUAAUCUCUCAUUUCUUUUCUUCACAGGAAGUUGGAAGGACACAUUUUGAUUCUCUCUCUCUCCGUUUAUCAAUUGGGAGAGAUUGAGUUUUCAUGAUUAAGCCCAUGGCGAUUUCUUCACGCGGUCUCUCUGUUUUGGGCGUCCUCUUCUUCUUCUCUUUCUUCUUUCUCAUCGGUCUUUCCUUCGCCGAUGACGUCUCCUACGAUGACGAUUCCCCCAAGUCUCCCGGCUGCGAUCGGGCUUACAAAUUGGUCAAGGUUAUGAACUGGGUUAAUGGUGUUGAAGGUGAAACUUUAGGUGGGAUAACUGCAAGAUUUGGGGCUGCAUUGCCUUUGGAGGCUGAAAAAGGUCUCAGAUUGCCUGCCAUUUUCUCAAAUCCCUUAAAUGGCUGUUCUAGUUCUUCUUCAAAGCUUUCUGGCUCUAUUGCAGUGUCCAUACGUGGUGAUUGUACCUACACUACAAAAGCAGAAGUUGCACAGUUGGGAGGUGCAGAAGCUCUUUUAGUGAUAAACGACAAAGAAGGGCUUGCUGAGAUGGGAUGUGAUAAGGACAGUGGUUCUCCAAAUGUUUCAAUUCCUGUUGUGAUGAUUCCAAAGUCAGCAGGUGAAUAUCUGAACAAGUCAAUGGGGGGUGGACAGAAAGUGGAAAUCAAACUAUAUGCACCCAAUCGUCCUGUUGUGGAUUUUUCAGUGAUAUUCUUGUGGAUGAUGGCUGUUGGAACAGUGAUCUGUGCUACUCUUUGGUCAGAGUUUACUGCUCCCGAAGAGAGUGAUAAGCAUUAUAAUGAAUUAUCACCAAAGGAAAAUGCUUCAACAGCCAAAGAUGAUUCUGAGCAAGAAUUCAUUGAUAUUAAUGCGAAGAGUGCAGUAGUUUUUGUUCUAACAGCAUCAACUUUUCUGGUUCUACUCUUCUUUUUUAUGUCAAGUUGGUUUGUCUGGCUGUUGAUUAUACUCUUCUGCCUUGGUGGUGUUGAGGGCAUGCAUAGUUGUAUAGUAUCUUUGAUUUCAAGAAAAUGCAAAAAUUGUGUGCAAAAGAAAGUAAAUUUACCUCUUUUGGGGGAAACUUCUAUUGUCUCGCUUGUUGUAUUAUGUUGCUGUCUGGCAUUUGCUAUUUUCUGGAUCGUGAAUCGGCGGACAUCAUAUUCGUGGAUUGGGCAAGAUAUUCUUGGUAUCUGCUUGAUGAUAACUGUCUUGCAGGUGGCUAGACUGCCUAAUAUUAAGGUUGCUGCUGUACUUCUGUGUUGCGCAUUCGUUUAUGACAUCUUUUGGGUCUUUCUAUCCCCAAUAAUUUUCCAUCAAAGUGUUAUGAUUGCUGUGGCUCGAGGUGACAACAGUGGUGGGGAAUCUAUUCCGAUGCUUUUGAGAAUUCCUCGAUUUUCUGAUCCUUGGGGUGGUUAUGACAUGAUUGGAUUUGGGGACAUUCUUUUUCCUGGUUUGCUUGUAUCAUUUUCUCGGAGAUAUGAUAGAGCAAAUAAGAAGAGCGGGUCCAGCGGAUAUUUUCCUUGGUUGACAAUUGGCUAUGGAUUUGGUCUUUUCCUCACAUACCUAGGUUUAUAUCUAAUGGAUGGGCAUGGUCAACCUGCACUCCUCUAUCUUGUUCCAUGUACCCUAGGUGUUUGUGUGAUAUUGGGUCUGGUGAGAGGAGAGAUAAAAGAACUCUGGAGCUUUGGUGCUGAAACUUCCUCAUCAUCUGGAGAUGCUCCUGGGGAAGCUUGAAGCUGUAAAUCAGUGACUUCUCAGAAAAGUAAAUGCCGGGGAAAUAACAUGUUGCUAAGUUUUGUAUUGUAAAGUUGAUGUGGUGAGUAGAAUAGUUGGUGGUGAAAGAAGGGGAUGCAAGUCUAAUUUCAUUUCACUUUUGACGUAUAUGCCACUGUAUGUUGUACCAUGGGUCAAUUCUUCCCACAACGUUGUUGCCCAUGUCUAAUAUUUCAGAAACUCUUUUCUUUUUUU